CAUGUUGAUUGUUGUCACGUCACGGAUCGGGGAAGCAGGAACAGGAAGAUGGAGAAUCUGGAAACCAGCUAGGAACACAGGAUAAUAGAAGUAGGGACUUAAAUGACUGGACGGGGAAAAUAUAUUUUGACGCGGAGUUCAAUACAUAGAACUAAUGAAAACAACUGGAAACAGCGAAUGACAUCGGGAUUCCACACGAGGUUAACGAGGGGGCGUGGCACACGGGAGGAUCGGACGAGCGCGCGUGACAAUUUGAGUUGGAGGGAUUUGACAAAAGCAUCCUUUUAGAAAUGCGUGAGGAAGGUCAAGACUCUGGUCUCCAGCUCACCGCUCUCUGUUACAUCUCCAUGGCCAUUUUGUCUGAUAGUAUCAUUCGAUUUUUCUAUGCUAUAGUUUUUUUGUUUAAUCAUUG